AACCUGGCUCACAAAGUAACAAACGGCGGACGGGUGAGUAAUGUCUGGGAAACUGCCUGAUGGAGGGGGAUAACUACUGGAAACGGUAGCUAAUACCGCAUAACGUCGCAAGACCAAAGUGGGGGACCUUCGGGCCUCAUGCCAUCAGAUGUGCCCAGAUGGGAUUAGCUGGUAGGUGGGGUAACGGCUCACCUAGGCGACGAUCCCUAGCUGGUCUGAGAGGAUGACCAGCCACACUGGAACUGAGACACGGUCCAGACUCCUACGGGAGGCAGCAGUGGGGAAUAUUGCACAAUGGGCGCAAGCCUGAUGCAGCCAUGCCGCGUGUGUGAAGAAGGCCUUCGGGUUGUAAAGCACUUUCAGCGGGGAGGAAGGCGGUGAGGUUAAUAACCUUGUCGAUUGACGUUACCCGCAGAAGAAGCACCGGCUAACUCCGUGCCAGCAGCCGCGGUAAUACGGAGGGUGCAAGCGUUAAUCGGAAUUACUGGGCGUAAAGCGCACGCAGGCGGUCUGUCAAGUCGGAUGUGAAAUCCCCGGGCUCAACCUGGGAACUGCAUUCGAAACUGGCAGGCUAGAGUCUUGUAGAGGGGGGUAGAAUUCCAGGUGUAGCGGUGAAAUGCGUAGAGAUCUGGAGGAAUACCGGUGGCGAAGGCGGCCCCCUGGACAAAGACUGACGCUCAGGUGCGAAAGCGUGGGGAGCAAACAGGAUUAGAUACCCUGGUAGUCCACGCCGUAAACGAUGUCGAUUUGGAGGUUGUGCCCUUGAGGCGUGGCUUCCGGAGCUAACGCGUUAAAUCGACCGCCUGGGGAGUACGGCCGCAAGGUUAAAACUCAAAUGAAUUGACGGGGGCCCGCACAAGCGGUGGAGCAUGUGGUUUAAUUCGAUGCAACGCGAAGAACCUUACCUGGUCUUGACAUCCACAGAACUUUCCAGAGAUGGAUUGGUGCCUUCGGGAACUGUGAGACAGGUGCUGCAUGGCUGUCGUCAGCUCGUGUUGUGAAAUGUUGGGUUAAGUCCCGCAACGAGCGCAACCCUUAUCCUUUGUUGCCAGCGGUUAGGCCGGGAACUCAAAGGAGACUGCCAGUGAUAAACUGGAGGAAGGUGGGGAUGACGUCAAGUCAU
rnacentral:rRNA from 1 species